CUAAGGCCAUACCACACUGAAUGUGCCCAAUUUUGUCUGAUCUCAGAAGCUAAGCAGGGUCAGGUCCAGUUGGUCUUCUGUAGUGCUAUUUGGC
rnacentral:rRNA from 1 species